UACGAAGGGGGCUAGCGUUGCUCGGAAUCACUGGGCGUAAAGCGCACGUAGGCGGCUCCUUAAGUCGGGGGUGAAAUCCUGGAGCUCAACUCCAGAACUGCCUUCGAUACUGAGGAUCUCGAGUCCGGGAGAGGUGAGUGGAACUGCGAGUGUAGAGGUGAAAUUCGUAGAUAUUCGCAAGAACACCAGUGGCGAAGGCGGCUCACUGGCCCGGUACUGACGCUGAGGUGCGAAAGCCAGGGGAGCAAACGGG
rnacentral:rRNA from 1 species